CCCUUUUCCAAAUCAAAAACACACAAUUCAAUACUUGAUGAUGAGCGAAACUCACAAAAGUGGAAAGCUAACCGUCUAUUUAUGGCAGUUAUUGUAUUAGCAGUUGAAAUUUGUGUUAGGUGGAACCGGUUUGAUAUCGGUUCAAUUGUACAUACACCCUAACUGUAGAGAAAUUUCUUAAAAAAAUUCAUUACGAAAGUGACAUUUUUUUUACUGCAAAAUUUAUUAAUCGAAAUAUUUUUAGGGGUAUAACUAAUUGUGUUUUUAUAUAUGAAAUAUACAAAAUUAAUUGUUUUUUCAAUCUUUGUGCAUAAAACCAAAACUAAACUUAAAACUUGGUCUAGUUCGGUUUAGUAUUUGAGCUAACAGAGAUCUUUUCACCUACCUGGUUUUUAACACGAGUUACGGCUCCUUGGUCACGCCAAUCGAAAUCCGUCGGGAGAUCGCUAGUCGGAAGGAUCGGCGCCUUCUGAGCGUCGCUGGGAAGACGCAACUUCCGUUUCAGCCCUAGGUACUUGCGGCGGAACUCCUUCGGAGUAAGAUCUGAGAAUUGCGUCACGCCGUGGACGGCCGACGGAUCGAGCAGCUGGUGACGCCUAGCUCUCCGUAGAUUAGCCUUGAAGACACGGAAGCGGUGAUCGUGCUCCGCCUGAGUCGCGUAAGUCUUGUCGUACUUGGACUUGAAGAGAGAGAAAUGGUGCUCCGCGUUGAGUAGCUGUUCAUCGUUUUCUUCCGGGACGACUUGCCUGAUGAUCGGGUUAUCGAAACUGUCUUCUACUACCUCGCCGGUGAUGGCGACGAGCAAAGCGGCUGCUACGAGGAGGAAGAAGAUCACACGACUCAUUCUUUUUUCCCAAGAGAUAAGGAAGGAGAGACUUUGGGACAAGCUUGUUAAAUAGACUGAUAAAGAACACGUGGCGUGAGAUUAUUAGCUGUAUUGAUUGAUGUUAGCGACCACAGUGGAUGUGACACGUUGCAUGUUGCUUCUAAUAUCUUCGUCUUCGUCAGCUAUGACGAUAUUUUUGUCUACCGUAAUUUCAGCAAAAUGUUGUGAGGGUAAAUUCGUAAUUACUCUUAUCAUUCUCAAAAUUCUCUCCUCGGCGACUAGCAUCGACUCUCUCCAGUCCAAAUCGGAGGUGUGACUGAAAAUAUCUCCGGUUGUUUUUUUCAGUUAUGGAGGUGAGAUCGGAUUUACGAUCGACUUCGUUUUCUUCUCUCCUGUUCGUUUUGAUUCUCACUGUUUUAAGCGGACUCGUUUCCCGGUCUGAGUCGGCUCAGCAACCUUUCCGCCGCGAGCCGGGUCACACUCACUGGCAUCACAGCGCCUUCCUCGACGUACGAGAGAGCGUGCGAUCGGAUGUCCGCCGCAUGCUUCACUCCCGUGCCGAGGUAAAUCUCGACCUUAUAGUAUGCUAAUCAUCAUCAUCUGGAUUAACUAGAAGAAGGAAUCAUCAUGACACUCUCGUUCUUGUGGCUUCGCACGUGUGAUCAGAACUUUGUUCGUGCUUGUGGCUGUGAAUUUUGUUUACACUCAAAUGAUCUGCAUCUUUGAGGAUUUAUAUGUUAGAUUGGCUGAUUUAAGGGUGACACAUCGGGAAUGAAUUUCGCAUCUACUUUUUUCGUUUGCAGGUACCAUUUCAGGUUCCUCUAGAAGUGAAUAUAGUCCUUGUUGGUAUGAAUGGGGAUGGGGGAUACAGAUAUGCUAUGGAUCCUCACAAGUUGGAGGAGUUCUUAAGAGUUAGCUUCUCGACCCAUAGACCCUCGUGCCAAGAGACGGGAGAGCCACUUGACAUUGAACAUCGAUUGGUUUAUAAUGUGUUUCCUGUGAGUAUUUUAUUCAUCUUAAACUAAGCUAUGCGAGUUGAAAUAUUGAAAUAUUGUAUUAUUGUAUCAGUAUUGAAAUAUUGUAUUUGUCGUUUUGGAUUGUUAACAAACUAAGCUAUGCGAGUUGUGGAAUCUUAUUAUUGCUUGAGCUGUUUGGGGUUUUGCAUCUUGAGUCAGAUUGUUAUAGACUUCUGAAUUCUGAUGCAAGAUUAACUGUGUUUCCAUUAGUUUACUAUUCAAAUAUUCAUCGUUUCUUUCUGGUUUUUAGGUUGGGCAACCUGAACUAAUUGCUCUGGAGAAGACAGUGAAAGAAGCCAUGGUGUCUGCUGGGACUGCAGUAGAGGUUGCUGUGAUCUUAUCAUCUCUAAUUUAAAUCUCUAUCAUACACACUCAAACAUGUACAUAUAUAAAUAUGCUGAUGAAAUGUAAUUUUUGUGAUGUAAAGUCUACAUUUUAAUGUAUAUAAACAUUGAGCUGAAUUUUUUGUUUUUUCAUUUAGGCUGAUUUUGGAAGACACUUACCUGCCUAUGACGUAGAGGCAACCAAAGUUGAGUCCGCCUUUAACCGCCUUUACUCUUAUAUAUUUGACAUGGAAGUGGGAGCUGGAUCAGCUGGCACGGCGGAUAAACCGAUACCAAGUGCCAUAUUCGUAGUUAAUUUUGAUAAGGUAUGGCUUGCAGUGCUCUUCUUACUUCUUGAAUCUUGCAUAUAGUUUGCAGAAUGUCCAAAUGCUUUACCUGCUCUUGUUUUUGUAUGAAAGAUAUUUACUGCCUUCUUGGAUUGCUGACACUCAUAUUUCUGUUUGUUCUUGAAGAUCUUUAUUUUUGCUCACAUGUGCAUUUAUUCGGUAACUAAUUAAAUCCUGUUCCGUUAUUUAUCUGCCCCUUUAUUUCUUAAAUCAUUAUUCAGGUAAGAAUGGAUCCUCGAAAUACAGAUAUUGAUCUAGACAGCUUGAUGUUUGCAAAGCUACCAGAGCUUAGUGAUGCAGACAAGGAGAAACAGGAGGCAGAUUAUAUUUAUCGAUAUAGAUACAAUGGUGGAGGAGCAUCCCAAGUUUGGCUUGGAUCAGGCAGGUAAACUCAUCUUUGUCUUUCUUAUAGGCAGGUAAACUCAUCUUUGUCUUUCUUAUAUCUUCCCUCGUGGCAGUAAAAUAUGAAUAAAAUUACUCGGUGGGUUCUUCCUUGGUAUCCCUAUGAGUGAUAUGAUUCUGCCAUUAGAUGUGAUCAAACAGAAUUACCACUCUAUUAUGAAAGCAUUGCAUCUAUCUAGGUAUCAUCAUAUUAUGAAAAAAGAAGAUAUGUACUAUUAUUUCCUUUUUGUUGAUUAUAGAAUAGAUAGGCCAUAAAAAACUCUAGAGGAAUACAAAAAGAUUGGCACUUACUAUUACUUCAUUUCACUUUGGUAAUCAUAUAUGUAAUAACAACCGGCCUUUUUACCUGAAAUUAAUAUUCAUGAUAUUGGUAUCAUUGCUAUUUGUGUUCUUAUCUGCUAUAUUUUCCACGAAGCUCUCAAUUUAGUUUUAUUUUUAACUUAUUUUUCUCUCCUGGAUAGAUAUGUUGUCAUAGAUUUGUCUGCGGGGCCUUGUACAUACGGGAAGAUUGAAACUGAAGAGGGAAGUGUCAGUCCUAGAACAUUGCCAAGGAUACGAAACAUUAUGCUUCCAGGAGAAGUUAGCCCUGCUGGUCAUCAGUCUACCCAUGACAUUUUUUCUGGUCAGUUAGCGGCAUUAGUAGCUACUACAAUUGAGCACGUCAUAGCUCCUGAUGUCAGGUAAUAUCAUACCCGAGACAUUACUUAGUUCUAUCAAUAAAAAUAAUGCUUAGGUGAUUCAUUUUGAUUUCGACCAGGUUUGAAACAGUUGAUCUUGCGACUAGAGUGCUGGUACCUAUCAUUGUGCUCCAAAACCACAAUCGAUAUAAUAUCAUGGAAAGAGGACAAAACUACAGCAUAAAUAUUGAAGAGAUAGAAUCCGAGGUAAAGGUUUCUUGCAUUAAAUGAGUGAUGUGACGCUCUGAUCUUUUGUUUUCUUCCCUAAAUGGUGGUUUGAUCCCUGAGUCAAUGUGAUUAGUAAAAAGACAUGUUAACCAAAUUUACUGCUAUCAGAGAGUUGGCACCCAUGAUAUUUUCCAAAGUACACAAGGAUUUGACACUAUAGGUUUUCACAUGCUAACUGUCCAGAGUCUUUGCAGGUAAAGAAAAUGAUUCAUCAUGGGCAAGAAGUAGUCAUCGUUGGAGGGGCUCAUCCAUUACAUCGCCAUGAGAAGUUAGCUAUUGCUGUCUCAAAAGCCAUGCGUGGGCAUUCCCUUCAGGAAACUAAGACGGACGGAAGAUUCCAUGUGCAUACCAAAACAUACCUAGAUGGUGCUAUUCUCAAAGAAGUGAGUUUCAAUAGAUGGUGGUUUCCGUGUUAGGUUAAGCUAGGAAAUCUUGUAUUAACAGAGGAAAAUAAUAGGUCUUUAACCUUCUGUUACUGCUCCAACCAGUGAAGUCUCAUUAUUCUUAUUAACCAUUUCAGGAAAUGGAAAGGUCUACUGAUGUUCUAGCUGCUGGUUUGCUCGAUGUAUCUGACCCUGGACUUUCUAAUAAAUACUUUCUGCGCCAGGUAAAUCUUAAAAAAAUCAUAUUCAAAUUUCUUUCACAAGUUUUGUUUUUUUCUCAUGGAAAAUAUUCCAUAUUUUUUGUACUCAGAGCUGGGAAGAUGAAUCCGAAGGUUCAAAUGAUUCCAUCGUGAAACACAAACCUCUCUGGUCACCUUACAGCUCGAAACAUCAAAAGGGGAAGAAAAAGAAGGCCGUUAAGAAAAAAGGAGAUCUCUACCGAACUUACGGAACAAGAGUAAUUCCAGUGUGAGUUGAUUUAUACAAACCAGCUGCUUAGUAUAUUCAGUACACUGUCCAAGCAAGGCUCAUAUGUUAAGUGAUUAAUUUGCACUUGCAACCAAAACAGCACUUGAUAUAAAUAUAUACUCUGUAUGUAGGUUACGGCUCCUUGGUCACGCCAAUCGAAAUCCGUCGGGAGAUCGCUAGUCGGAAGGAUCGGCGCCUUCUGAGCGUCGCUGGGAAGACGCAACUUCCGUUUCAGCCCUAGGUACUUGCGGCGGAACUCCUUCGGAGUAAGAUCUGAGAAUUGCGUCACGCCGUGGACGGCCGACGGAUCGAGCAGCUGGUGACGCCUAGCUCUCCGUAGAUUAGCCUUGAAGACACGGAAGCGGUGAUCGUGCUCCGCCUGAGUCGCGUAAGUCUUGUCGUACUUGGACUUGAAGAGAGAGAAAUGGUGCUCCGCGUUGAGUAGCUGUUCAUCGUUUUCUUCCGGGACGACUUGCC
rnacentral:lncRNA from 1 species